rnacentral:misc_RNA from 1 species
AAUGGUCGGUACAGAGAGCAGCCACUACGCGAGUAGGAGCGAAUCUACAAAACCGAUCUCAGUUCGGAUCGCAGUCUGCAACUCGACUGCGUGAAGCUGGAAUCGCUAGUAAUCGGAUAUCAGCCAUGAUCCGGUGAAUACGUUCCCGGGCCUUGUACACACCGCCCGUCAAGCCAUGGAAGCUGGGGGUACCUGAAGUCGGUGACCGUAAGGAGCUGCCUAGGGUAAAACUAGUGACUGGGGCUAAGUCGUAACAAGGUAGCCGUACCGGAAGGUGCGGCUGGAACACCUCCUUUCUAGAGAAAUGUGCAUUUAGAUGUACAUAGAAAGACGACAAAAAUUCUGAGAGGCGUCAAAUUUUGCAUUUUGCUAAGCUGUCAUUCUUAAUAUUUUAGUCUCGUAGCUCAGCUGGUUAGAGCGCUACACUGAUAAUGUAGAGGUCGGCAGUUCGAGUCUGCCCGAGACUACUAAUAGUUUAAUAACUAGAAGUUCUUUAAAAUAGAGAUUUUUAGAAGUUGAGUCUUCUUACUGGUUGUUACCGAAUGGUUUAUCCGGUAUAAACUACAACUAAAGGGGGAUUAGCUCAGCUGGCUAGAGCGCUUGAUUUGCAUUCAAGAGGUCAUCGGUUCGACUCCGAUAUUCUCCACUUUUUGAAAUUUAGUUUUAAAAUUUCUGAAGUUCUUUGACAUAUUGAGAUUAAGAAAUAUAAUUUAUAUUUCUUAUGAAUAGAUACAUAAAAAUGUUGUAUGCCCAAGUCGAGCCGACUAUGGGACAUACAAAAAAAGGUAUGUUGAUAAUUUUUAUCAAUGUACGAGCAAUAGUAAUUACAAUUUAAAAGAAAUAAUCGUUACGAUAGGUUAAUUAAGAGCAUAUGGGGGAUACCUUGGCCCUCAGAGGCGAUGAAGGACGUGAUAAGCUGCGAUAAGUGCGGGAA